GACGAACGCUGGCGGCGUGCUUAACACAUGCAAGUCGAACGGAAAGGCCCUGCUUUUGUGGGGUGCUCGAGUGGCGAACGGGUGAGUAACACGUGAGUAACCUGUCCUUGACGUUGGGAUAACUUCAGGAAACUGGGGCUAAUACCGGAUAGAAGCUCCUGCUGCAUGGUGGGGGUUGGUAAGUUUCGGCGGUUGGGGAUGGACUCGCGGCUUAUCAGCUUGUUGGUGGGGUAGUGGCUUACCAAGGCUUUGACGGGUAGCCGGCCUGGGAGGGUGACCGGCCACAUUGGGACUGAGAUAGGGCCCAGACUCCAACGGGAGGCAGCAGUGGAGAGUAUUACACAGUGAGCGGAAGCCUGAUGCAGCAACGCCGCGUGCGGGAUAACGGCCUUCGGGUUGUAAACCGAUUUCGCCUGUGACGAAGCGUGAGUGACGGUAAUGGGUAAAGAAGCACCGGCUAACUACGUG
rnacentral:rRNA from 1 species